rnacentral:rRNA from 1 species
GCCAGGAUCAAGGCCCAAGACCUUCUCGGGAAGAAGGAGGAGGAGCUGCUGAAACAGCUGGACGACCUAAAGGUGGAGCUGUCCCAGCUGCGCGUCGCCAAAGUGACGGGCGGCGCGGCCUCCAAGCUC